rnacentral:rRNA from 1 species
AACGAACGCUGGCGGCAUGCCUAACACAUGCAAGUCGAACGAAGGCUUCGGCCUUAGUGGCGCACGGGUGAGUAACGCGUGGGAAACUGCCUAUUGGUGGGGAAUAACGACGGGAAACUGUCGCUAAUACCGCAUAAGCCCUUCGGGGGAAAGAUUUAUCGCCGAUAGAUGUGCCCGCGUCCGAUUAGCUGGUUGGUGAGGUAAUGGCUCACCAAGGCGACGAUCGGUAGCUGGUCUGAGAGGAUGAUCAGCCACACUGGGACUGAGACACGGCCCAGACUCCUACGGGAGGCAGCAGUGGGGAAUAUUGGAUAAUGGGCGAAAGCCUGAUCCAGCAAUGCCGCGUGAGUGAUGAAGGCCUUAGGGUUGUAAAGCUCUUUCGGGUGGGACGAUGAUGACGGUACCACCAGAAGAAGCCCCGGCUAACUUCGUGCCAGCCGCCGCAGUAA